rnacentral:rRNA from 1 species
UACGGGGGGGGCAAGCGUUGUUCGGAAUUACUGGGCGUAAAGGGCGCGUAGGCGGACUCGCCAGUCUGUGGUGAAAGCCCCCAGCUUAACUGGGGAAGUGCCGUGGAUACUGCGAGUCUGGAGGAGGGUAGGGGCAUCUGGAACGCUGGGUGGAGCGGUGAAAUGCGUUGAUAUCCAGCGGAACUCCGGUGGCGAAGGCGAGGUGCUGGACCCUUUCUGACGCUGAGGCGCGAAAGCCAGGGGAGCAAACGGG